UUUAAAUUGUCCCCAGUGUGUAGGAUGGAACUAGUGUUCUGGGUGAUGUUAGUCGGUGCGGACUCGGUGGGGCUAAGGGCCUGUUUCCACACUAUCUCUAAACUAGAAACUGACUGUGUCUGCGCAUCCCUGCAGGGGUUACUCAGUGUGCAGCCAUCUGCAGUUGCCACAUCAUCACCUUCCUUCCACCAUGAGGUCAGUUAUCGGGAUAGUUGCAAUGACUGUAUAACAGCAGAAGCAGCAGCCUAUGGUCCUUGUUUAAGGUGACAACAUUCAGCACGGUCUGAUAAAUUACAUUCAUCAUUUGUGCCCUGACAACGCCAGGCUAAGACUGGCACAGUAAAAGGGAGCUGGACAGUUAAUGCCUCGCCCAUGGCCCGUCCCCCACCCUCAACAUCCGCGAUCACCACUGAUCAACCACUGACUAGAAACAGUGACCGGUGUUUGCGAGUUACCAGUGGUGAGUUACCAGUGUUGGUUAGUUACCCAUGGUUAUGUUAACCAGAGCCAGAAUUUCCCGGUGUACACCGCUUUCCUCAGGAGUGGUCACUGCUUCGGAAGGAGAGGGUCUGUGGGACGUGCCAAGCACUGGUUUGGGGCAGUUUGGGACACUGUUGCCUGUUGCCGCUCCGUUAGGAAGGUGGUGAGGGUGAGGAUGUUAUAGUCAUUUAGUAUGUCUGUAUGUUUACCUAGUAUGGCUGUAUGGUAACUCGAGUGUCACUUUACCUUAAGUGGUACAUGUGACAAUAAACUGAUCUUGAUCGCUGCUCUCUGCACGCCACUAGCCGGCUGGUCACUGCUGCAGUCUUUGGCCAAGGAUCACUCCCUGCAGCCUCUGACCCCACGUCACUUUCACCAGGUGGCUUCUAGCAACAAUGGGCUUAUUGUUAGCAUGUUUUGAAUUCAUUCAUAAUCUAAAAAUGCUGAAUUUGCGCAAAAAAAAUGCUGAAUUUAUUUAUAUAGCAUUUGGCUACAGUUUAAUAUUCUCGUUGGUUCUAAAUCGAGAGCUGAAGGGGCUGAACUCCCACAAAGGCGUUUCUCUGCACUUUCCUUUCGGUUUUACAAUUUGGGGUCGGGCAAAGGUUUUUGAUGUUUGCAGGAUUUUAACUGCUGGUAAUAAAGAAUCUUCAGAUGA